rnacentral:rRNA from 1 species
UACGGAGGGUGCAAGCGUUAAUCGGAAUUACUGGGCGUAAAGCGCGCGUAGGUGGUUUGAUAAGCGAGAUGUGAAAGCCCCGGGCUUAACCUGGGAACGGCAUUUCGAACUGUCAGGCUAGAGUAUGGUAGAGGAGUGUGGAAUUUCCUGUGUAGCGGUGAAAUGCGUAGAUAUAGGAAGGAACACCAGUGGCGAAGGCGGCACUCUGGACCAAUACUGGACACUGAGUGCGAAAGCGUGGGGAGCAACAGGAUUAGAUACCCGUAGUC